CUGAUGCAUGAAGUCCUUGGACCAUCGUGGACCACCCACACCAUUGUAAUUUUGGGCACUGCAGGACGUACCUAAGGCGUGGGACUAGUAGAACAUAAACGGCACCAACUACGUCAGCACAUCCCCCAGUAUUGUGGCUCCUGCUGGGCAAACGGCAGCAGCAGUGCCAUGGUGCUGGUCUUCGCUGGAUUUGCCACGCUUUGUUUUUUACUCACCUAAGACAGUAAUUGCUCCAUAUCUGAUGUCAUUGGUAUCAAAACAUAUU